rnacentral:rRNA from 1 species
UACAGGGGUCCCAAGCGUUGUUCGGAUUCAUUGGGCGUAAAGGGUGCGUAGGUGGCGCCGUAAGUCAGGUGUGAAAUCUCGGGGCUUAACUCCGAAACUGCAUUUGAUACUGCGGUGCUUGAGGACUGGAGAGGAGACUGGAAUUUACGGUGUAGCAGUGAAAUGCGUAGAGAUCGUAAGGAAGACCAGUGGCGAAGGCGGGUCUCUGGACAGUUCCUGACACUGAGGCACGAAGGCCAGGGGAGCAAACGGG